rnacentral:lncRNA from 1 species
AUGCUGCCGCCUGCCUUCACCACUGGUCUCAAACCCAGUUUAAAUCAAUACAGCUUACUGUUUCCUAGAAAUCUGAUUUUUUUAUUUCGGUUUCGGGAUCAUUUAACUUCAGUGAUGUCGUACCAGACCAGGCCUCAGCUCACCGGGCUCGGGUCAGACCAGGCCUCAGCUCACCGGGCUCGGGUCAGACCAGGCCUCAGCUCACCGGGCUCGGGUCAGACCAGGCCUCAGCUCACCGGGCUCGGGUCAGACCAGGCCUCAGCUCACCGGGCUCGGGUCAGACCAGGCCUCAGCCCACCGGGCUCGGGUCAGACCAGGCCUCAGCUCACCGGGCUCGGGUCAGACCAGGCCUCAGCUCACCGGGCUCGGGUCAGACCAGGCCUCAGCUCACCGGGCUCGGGUCAGACCAGGCCUCAGCUCACCGGGCUCGGGUCAGACCAGGCCUCAGGCUUCAGGUCACCGGGCUUGGGUCAGACAAGGCCUCAGGCUUCAGCCCACCGGGCUCGGGUCAGACCAGGCCUCAGCUCACCGGGCUCGGGUCAGACCAGGCCUCAGCUCACCGGGCUCGGGUCAGACCAGGCCUCAGCUCACCGGGCUCGGGUCAGACCAGGCCUCAGCUCACCGGGCUCGGGUCAGACCAGGCCUCAGCUCACCGGGCUCGGGUCAGACCAGGCCUCAGCUCACCGGGCUCGGGUCAGACCAGGCCUCAGCUCACCGGGCUCGGGUCAGACCAGGCCUCAGCCCACCGGGCUCGGGUCAGACCAGGCCUCAGCUCACCGGGCUCGGGUCAGACCAGGCCUCAGCUCACCGGGCUCGGGUCAGACCAGGCCUCAGCUCACCGGGCUCGGGUCAGACCAGGCCUCAGGCUUCAGGUCACCGGGCUUGGGUCAGACAAGGCCUCAGGCCUCAGCUCACCGAGCUUGGGUCAGACCAGGCCUCAGCUCACCGGGCUCGGGUCAGACCAGGCCUCAGCUCACCGGGCUCGGGUCAGACCAGGCCUCAGCUCACCGGGCUCGGGUCAAAGCAAGAUCAAAUUUUCAGUUCUGA